AGAGUUUGAUCAUGGCUCAGGACGAACGCUGGCGGCGUGCCUAAUACAUGCAAGUAGAACGCUGAAAGAGGAGCUUGCUUCUCUGGAUGAGUUGCGAACGGGUGAGUAACGCGUAGGUAACCUGCCUGGUAGCGGGGGAUAACUAUUGGAAACGAUAGCUAAUACCGCAUAAGAGUAGAUGUUGCAUGACAUUUGCUUAAAAGGUGCAAUUGCAUCACUACCAGAUGGACCUGCGUUGUAUUAGCUAGUUGGUGGGGUAACGGCUCACCAAGGCGACGAUACAUAGCCGACCUAAGAGGGUGAUCGGCCACACUGGGACUGAGACACGGCCCAGACUCCUACGGGAGGCAGCAGUAGGGAAUCUUCGGCAAUGGACGGAAGUCUGACCGAGCAACGCCGCGUGAGUGAAGAAGGUUUUCGGAUCGUAAAGCUCUGUUGUAAGAGAAGAACGAGUGUGAGAGUGGAAAGUUCACACUGUGACGGUAUCUUACCAGAAAGGGACGGCUAACUACGUGCCAGCAGCCGCGGUAAUACGUAGGUCCCGAGCGUUGUCCGGAUUUAUUGGGCGUAAAGCGAGCGCAGGCGGUUAGAUAAGUCUGAAGUUAAAGGCUGUGGCUUAACCAUAGUACGCUUUGGAAACUGUUUAACUUGAGUGCAAGAGGGGAGAGUGGAAUUCCAUGUGUAGCGGUGAAAUGCGUAGAUAUAUGGAGGAACACCGGUGGCGAAAGCGGCUCUCUGGCUUGUAACUGACGCUGAGGCUCGAAAGCGUGGGGAGCAAACAGGAUUAGAUACCCCGGUAGUCCAA
rnacentral:rRNA from 1 species